rnacentral:rRNA from 1 species
GACGUAGGGUGCGAGCGUUGUCCGGAUUUAUUGGGCGUAAAGAGCUCGUAGGCGGCUCGUCGCGUCGACCGUGAAAACCCGCGGCUUAACUGCGGGCUUGCGGUUGAUACGGGCGGGCUAGAGUUCGGUAGGGGAGACUGGAAUUCCUGGUGUAGCGGUGAAAUGCGCAGAUAUCAGGAGGAACACCCGUGGCGAAAGCGGCUCUCUGGAACGGUACUGACGCUGAGACGCGAAAGCGUGGGGAGCGAACAGG